rnacentral:tRNA from 1 species
UCCCUGGUGGCUCAGUGGUAAAGAAUCUGCCUGUAAUGCAGCAGGCCUGGGUUCGAUCCCUGGGUGGGGAG